rnacentral:misc_RNA from 1 species
AAGUCGUAACAAGGUUUCCGUAGGUGAACCUGCGGAAGGAUCAUUAUUGAAACAUUGUGAAGGAGGUUGAGCUGGCUCUUUACAGGGCAUGUGCUCACCUUCUUUCAAUUCCUUCAUCCACCUGUGCACAUCUUGUAGGGGAUUCGGAAACGGGUGUAACAGCCUGAAGUACAAGUCCUCUAUGUUUUUACAAACUCUAUUGUAUGUCUAUGAAUGUGAAUUAAUGGGACUUAAUUGACCCUUUAAAAACUAUACAACUUUCAGCAACGGAUCUCUUGGCUCUC